rnacentral:tRNA from 1 species
GGGCUCGUAGCUCAGUCAGGCAGAGCACCGGGCUUUUAACCCGAUGGUCGAGGGUUCAAAUCCCCCCGAGCCCG